AACCGCCGUAUACGAGACCCGUACGUACGGUGGUGUGAGGGGUGCACUCCGUCAUUAGAUGGCGGAGCCAUCCACUCAAU
rnacentral:misc_RNA from 1 species